CUUUGUGUUUGUUUUUGCGUUGUUUCUUCUUUCAGAUUGACUUGUAUCUCCUCGGAUUUCUAAAACAUAGUAGUUGCAUCUUUAUUUUUACUUAACAUGCUGAAUUAUUACUGUUAUUUGAAUUUUAACUCAUCCGAAAAUAAACAAAUUUAAUCUUGUCAGGAAUAUGUGUCCACAAGACACACUAUAUUAGAUCCAUGUUCAGUCAAUUGUAAAAUAUUGG
rnacentral:lncRNA from 1 species